rnacentral:lncRNA from 1 species
CUCAAAAAAGAAAAAAAAAGAAAGAAAGAAAAGAAAUACUGAGUGUCUUGACACUCCACAAAACAUAAUACUGGUCCAUAUUGAUGAUAUUAUGCUGAUUGGAUUUGAUGAGCAGGAAGUUACAAGUACUUUAGAUGUCUUAAUAAGACAUAUGUGAACCAUAUUGAAGGAGAUAAUACCCACAAAAAGCCAGGGGCUGGUCACCUGAGUGAAGGUUUGGGGAUUCAGUAGUCUGGAGAACACCGAAAUAUCUCCUCCAAGGCAAAAGACCAACUUCUGCAUUUUGUACUACCUACCACAAAGAGGCACAACUCUUGAUAAGCCUUUUUGGGUUUUGGAGGCAACAUGUAUCACAUUUGUGAAUCUACAGAGAUACUUGUAAGGCUUCCUGUUUCACAUGGGACCUGGGACAAAGAAGGCUCUGCUCUAAAUUCAGGCUAUAGUAUAAGCUGCUCUAUCACUUGUCCUUCUGACUCAACAGACCCAAUGAUACUUUAAGUGUGGCAAACAGUUGAUGUAUGUAGCUUCUCAAAAGGAUGAAUAGGAAAAUGACCACCUUGACCUCUAGAAUUUUUGAAUAAAAUCCAUGUCUUCUACAGAUAACUAUUCUCUUUUUGAGAACAGCUUCUGUCUUGCUACCAGGCCUUGGUAGAUACUGAAUGCCUAAUGCUUCCCGUCACAAACUCACCUUGCCAAGAGAUCAGGCAUGUGCACAGUCUAUCAUCAAAUGGACAUGGUAUAUAAGAGAUCAAGUUUGAGUAGGUCUGGAAUAUAUGAGUAGAUUUCAUAACAGGCACUUCAGAUUCCUUUGACACAAACUCCUGUUGCAUUGUGUCCUGUCCUUCACCCCAUGCCUGUGACCUCAUGAACUGCUCCUUAUGACCAGUUUACUGAGGAAAACACUUAGACCUGGUUACAGCUGAACCUAUGCAGUAAGCUGGCAAUACACAAAAGUGGACAGCCUCAGCAUUACAGGGGUGACCCUGGAGUAUGAUGGAGCUGCCUGCCUUGCCUGUAAUGCUUCUGCCAGCAACACCAUCUGUGGACUGACAGAAUGCUUUAUCCACAUUCACAGGAAUCCAGCCAUCAUCUGAGGAAGCAGUUCAUGUCGCAGCAAAGGAAGUUCUGUUCUCACCACAGCCCCUAUCUUCUGGAAGCAGCUGUCGUAAUUGAAAGGGUGCAUUUCUCACCUGCACUGUGGUCCAGGAAACUCAAGUCACCGUCCCCACCAUGUUCUUCCUGACUUCGAAGCAGUCUGGUGACCCCAGGCAGGAACUGACUAGCAUGAGAGUCUUGAUGCAGGAGAAUUUUUGAAGAAAUUCAGAAGCAGAACCGAAAGGAGGAGAGAAGCCACCUCCACCCUGUCCACUAACCUUCAGUGGGAACAGCAGAUGCAACUGGCGGGGCUGAAGGAAACAGCAGGCAGUGAGAUGGAGUGAGAACUGGAAUAAGGCAAGGAAUAUUGCUGAGAUGGUUCUCAAAUCAAUGGAGAGAGAUGUCCGUGGAUGAAUCACAAAGGGAGGGAAUGGGUGCAAAGGCCUCACUGAGAUCCAAUGACAGCAGAAGCUGCCAGGAUCUGACGUAAACCAGUUUGGUUGAAGUGUUGGGGGAGGCUAUAUGACCACAUUUUGUUUCUAUUGGCACAAUUCCAUACAUGGAAAAUGUCAUGAGACUCAAAAAUGGGUUCAGCAGAAGCUCAAAAAUAUGCUACAAAAUUCAGGAAGAAGCUAAAAUAUUAUCAGAUUAUUUUAUAAAGGACACAACUAGUCAGGAACCUUUUGAAAACACCAGCAUGCAUCAUCCAAAGAAGUAGAAUCCAAUUAAAAAAAAAAAAAAGACUGGGAGGAGUACAUCACAAAGGAGGGUGAGAUUUGGGAAGACAGUUACUCUAAGACCCUGUGAGCAAACUGCACCUGAUUCCAGAAAGACAGUUGGAGUCGAGGAGAGAAUGAAGCAACUUUACUGGCUGGGUUGAAGCCUACCCUAUCAGAACGGAAUAAGGCUAAUGCGGUUAUCAAGGUUCUCUUGAAGGAAAUAAUCCCCUGGUUUGGGUUGCCCCAAAGCCUCCAAAGUGAUAAUCGCUUGUCUUCUGCCUCCCAAAUAACUCAAAGGGUUGCUAAGGCUCUCAGAAUUAAAUACUAUUUACACUCAGCAUGGAGGCCUCAAUCCUCAGGGAAAGUAGAAAGGGCUAAUCAAACUCUAAAACUGGCAUUAGCUAAGCUAUGUCAGGAAACAUCAGAAACUUGGAUCAACUUACUGCCCAUAGCCCUCUUAAGAAACCAUUAUUCUCCAAGAGCAAAAAUUAAUAUAAGCCCAUAUAAAAUGUUAUAUGGGAGGCCAUUUUAACUAAUGAUCUAAUUACUGAUCCAGAAACGGCUGAGUUAAUAAAAUACCUAGUUAACCUAGGACAGUUUCAGCAGGUCUCGCAAGAGUUUGGAACUCAAAGGCUCCCCGCACCAGGAACUAACCAGCAAACCAAGGUCAGGCCAGGAGAUAAGGUACUUGUUAAAACAUGGAAUGAGGAGUCACCUGCUCAACAACUACAACCCUAAUGGAAGGGACUAUUUUCACUGGUGUUGGCCAUGCCUUCCAUGGCCAAAGUACUAGGAUUAGAUAGUUGGAUACCUCUUUCCAGGUUUAAGCCUGCAACAUCUGAAGCCCUGGACCUGGAACCGGAGACUCCCACCAGCCACUAUACCUGUGAACCCGUAGAAGACCUGAACUACCUAUUUAAAAGACAGUCAAAAGAUAAGUAAAUGCCUACCAAUUUUCCCUGGUGUAAAAUGUUAACUGAUUUUUGCUCUCUCACUUACAGAUGUUUGUAUAAGGGUUUCAGCCAAUUUUGGAACAAAAUUCAAAAUCAGGCCAAAAUACUUACCUGUUGUGACUAGAUCAAGCCAGCUGUACCUUUUAUAACCACGUACAAGGCUUGCCGCAACCCAUGGAUACCCACCUAAAUACUUAGGAAUAGAGAGCCAUGAUCCUCAGUAGGCAGGGACAAUGCCCAUGACCAGUAGAAAGUAGCUACAGAAAACUGAUCUUCAGCCCUUUUGCCUCCCAUAAAGAUUUAUGGGGAUCAUAUCUCUCAGAGGGAAAUGAGGCAGGAGAAUAGGGAAUUAGGGUAACCAGGGUUUCAGCUGGUGCAGCCAGUGCCGCAGGGGUGGAAGAACAGCAGGUGCAGCCAGUUCAAAUGAGCAGAAGAACAGCAGGUGCAGCAUAUAGGCCACAUCCUUGCUCCCAUGAUAACAAGCCACUUCAGCCUCCGAUUGGUCUCAGGCCAAUCCUUUAUGAGGUGUGGUCAAUUGGAGGCCUCUGAAGGGCACUGAGAGGUGUUGCCGGGUUUUUUCUUUAAUAAAAACCGUAAUUGAGGGGGCUCUUGAGCAGCCGCUUGCUCAAGCCCAAUCCCACUCUGAAUUUUCUUCAAUAAAUCUGUGCCCACACUGGCAUUUUGUUCAGUUCCUUGCCCAAUACACCAAGAACAGCAGGUGCAGCAUACAGGCCACAUCCUGGCUGGACAACUCACAUUUAGGACACUCUCUCCGGCAACAGGUGACAUCAUCCUCUUAGCCUGUCAAAAUGUUGGUAUUACAGGCAUGAGCUGCCCUGCCUGGCCUAUAACUUUUUUUGCUGAAAAAUAUUCCCUUGUAUGCAGGUAUUACAUUUAGCCAUUCAUCAGCUGGUGGACAUUUGAACUGUUUCCACUUUUGUUUACUAUGAAUAAAGCUGCUAUGAACACCUGUGUAAAGUUUUGCAUAGACAUGUUUUCAUUUCUGUAUAUAUAUCUAA